rnacentral:rRNA from 1 species
CAGUCGCCGCGGGAAUACGAAGGGGGCUAGCGUUGUUCGGAAUCACUGGGCGUAAAGCGCACGUAGGCGGACACUUAAGUCAGAGGUGAAAUCCCAAGGCUCAACCUUGGAACUGCCUUUGAUACUGGGUGUCUUGAGUUCGGGAGAGGUGAGUGGAACUGCGAGUGUAGAGGUGAAAUUCGUAGAUAUUCGCAAGAACACCAGUGGCGAAGGCGGCUCACUGGCCCGAUACUGACGCUGAGGUGCGAAAGCGUGGGGAGCAAACAGGAUUAGAUACCCCGGUAGUCCCUGUCUCUUAUAC